rnacentral:ncRNA from 1 species
CAAAAGCUUGGUCCUGACUUUACUGUCAGCUUUGACUAUACUUAUACAUGCAAGUAUCCGCAUCCCUGUGAGAAUGCCCUACACAUUCCCGACCCUGGAAAGAAGGAGCAGGCAUUAGGCACGAUUUUAUAUCAGCCCAUAACGCCUUGCUAAGCCACACCCCCACGGGACUUCAGCAGUAAUAAACAUUAAGCAAUAAGUGCAAACUUGACUUAGUUAAAGCCAAGAGGGCCGGUAAAACUCGUGCCAGCCACCGCGGUUAUACGAGGGGCCCAAGUUGACAGACUCCGGCAUAAAAAGUGGCUAAUACAACACCCCACUAAAGUCAAACACCUUCAAAACUGUUAUACGCUCUCGAAGACAGGAAGCCCCUCCACGAAAGUGACUUUAAGUACUAUUAAUCCACGAAAGCUAGGAAACAAACUGGGAUUAGAUACCCCACUAUGCCUAGCCUUAAACACAAGCAAUAAGACACAUCUUUGCUUGCCAGGGGACUACGAGCCCCAGCUUAAAACCCAAAGGACUUGGCGGUGCUUUAGACCCACCUAGAGGAGCCUGUUCUAGAACCGAUAACCCCCGUUAAACCUCACCUUCUCUUGUUUUUUCCGCCUAUAUACCGCCGUCGUCAGCUUACCCUAUGAAGGCUUAAUAGUGAGCACAAUUGGUAGAACCCAAAACGCCAGGUCGAGGUGUAGCGCACGAGGAGGGAAGAAAUGGGCUACAUUCACUGACCCAGUGAACACGAACAAUGCCUUGAAACAGACAUUCAAAGGAGGAUUUAGCAGUAAGGAGAGAAAAGAGUGCCCUCCUGAAACUGGCCCUGAAGCGCGCACACACCGCCCGUCACUCUCCCCAAACAAAAGACACACAUAAAUAAACAACAAACAAAAUAAAGGGGAGGCAAGUCGUAACAUGGUAAGUGUACCGGAAGGUGCACUUGGAAAAAU